AUCUCGGUCGCCCAGUUGGUAAGACACUGCUCUAGCAUUGCAGAGGUCGUGGGUUCGAAUCCCACCUGAGAAA